rnacentral:misc_RNA from 1 species
AACACUGUUAACCUGCGGUACCUGCGGAGGGAUCAUUAUAGUAUAUGGAAUCUCCAUUCUAUAAACCCACUCUGCGUAUCUUGUAACUGUUGCUUCCAUGGGACUUGGUUCCGCCGCACCGGCUUCACGGCUGGUGAGCGCCCAUGGAAGGAGAAACAAAACUCUUCUUUGAAAUGUAGUCAGUCUGAACAAGUUUUUAUAAACGUUAAAACUUUCAACAACGGAUCUCAGAUCGGAAGA